rnacentral:lncRNA from 1 species
UUCUUGGAGGCUGAAAGAACACAUGGAGAGCAGUGUUUUUGCAGCUUCUGUGUUGGUAAGAGCCUGGAGUCUCUCUCUCUGUCUCUCUCUCUCUCUCUCUCUCUCUCUCUCUAUCACACACACACACACACACACACACACACAGAGCAAUCACUGCACCCAGCCACCUCUAUAUACAUGUACACAAAGCCACACAGUUUACACAGUCACAGGUAUUUAAGUACAGACUCACUAUUCACACACAAAUACCUAUAUAGACACACAUGUACAGUCCGUCCAAAAUAUAUGUACAUAAAAGCACACCAUUACACCUUCAUAUGUGCAUACACACACACCCCCAGACUCACUUCAUACAUACAUAGAUACAACAGCCACAGCUCCCCAUCACCUACACACACACACACACACACACACACCUGGACACCCAGCUCUAAUAUAAUCAGAUAGAGAUAUGCAUGCAGACAUAUUUGCCUGUAUAGUCAAACACAUAGGCAAAUAGAGAACGAGACACCACAUGAACAAAGGCAAACCUAUACACAAAGACACAGAGCACACUUACACAUAUAGCUAUAGAUCCACCAUGGCACAUAUGGGUAAGUGCACACAGGCAAACUCACACACACGAGCAUGCACAGGCAGAGAACACAAAUGUACACUCCCAGGUGUCAUAAAGAACAGCCCAGCUUUGGCUUGGGAACGUCACAUCAGACAAUAGGAUCGGCUGCACCGUGCGUUUCCUCAGCUGCCAGCUUCCCAGCCACAGAAGAUGCCUCACCUGCUAUGUCAGCUCCCCUCUGCCCCACCUCACAAGAAGCUCAGAAGCUGAGGAGUCAUAGGGAGACCUCCCUACUGUGUCAGAGGAAUAGGUCCUUCUGUCACGGGGCACAGGACCCUUGACCACAAAAUGACGUGAGUUACCACUGACCAUUUUCUGGGUCUUGAUCUUGUGACUCCAAAUGGAUGGUAAGCUCCUUAAGGGAAAGUCUAUGAUAUUCAUCCAACCAUCCAUCCAUCCUUUCAUUCACCCAACCAUCCAUCCAUCUGACCAUCAUCCAUCCAUCCAUCCAUCCAUCUAUCCAUCUUCUAUCCAUCUAUCUACUCACCCAUCCACCCAUCCAUUCAAUUAUUCAUCCAUCCUUCUUCCAUCCAUUCACCCAUCUUCCAUCCAUCUGUCCACCCAUCCAUUCCACCAUUUAUCCAUCCAACCACCAUCUAUUCAUCCAACCACUCGUCUAUUCAUCCCUCUGACCAUCCAACCAUCCAUCGAUUUGUUCAAUUAUUUUAUCAAGCAUCUACACUGCACCACACACCCUAAUGGGUGUUGAGGAGAAAAUGGAGAGUAAAAUCAGAUGGGACCUCUGACCUCAGUGCGGCUGACCAUCAGUCCGGUAGAGGAGACACGUAAACUGACAAUUACAAAUAAACACAAUGUGUCAACUCUGACAAGUGCUGUGAGGGAGAAAUCAGCAGUACUGAGAAAGCCUUUAUGGUCCUGGUGUGAGAGGCGGGAUGAGCCCAACACAGCAACAGCAGCAAGACCAUGGGGGAGUGUGGUGCAGAUGGGCAGGUGUACAGAGCAUGCAGGCCAUGUCUGCCAGCCCUCUCUUUGUGCAUUAGCAACAGUAAAACGGGGCUUGUGUUUGGGCAGAUUAUACCACUGGUCUUGCAUCCCAAAUGUCUCUUUGUUCACUCGUUUAUACAAACAUGCUCAAUAAUAUUUAUACAUUUUUACUGUGACAUCAUUUUCUUAUAUAAUAAAAGUGUCUAUUUAUGUACCGUAUAUGUAUAUAUAUAAUACACAGAUGCACACACACAAGCACACAUGCACAGAGCUUCUUGACAGUCAGUCCCUCAUAAGGUAGUCCACUGAAGUGCAGUCAUCACCAUCCUCAGACCUCAUGAUUAUAUAACUAGAGCACCUUAUAUUUUUAUAUUUUAUUAUGUAUUUAAUAAUCACAUAACUCUUUAGUGAAUGCCAAUUAAUUAGGAGAAUGACAUGCCUUCUCUCUGCUCCUCAUAACAUCCCCCUUAGAUAGGUUUUGUCUCCCCACUUACAAGAUGUGGAGACUGGGCCGGGCACAGUGACUCACGCCUGUAAUCCCAGCACUUUGGGAGGAUGAGGCGGGUGGAUCACAUGAGAUCAGGAGUUUGAGACCAUCCUGGCCAACAUGACAAAACCGUCUCUGCUAAAAAUACCAAAAUUAGCUGGGACUGGUGACACGUUCCUUUAAUUCCAGCUACUCGGGAGGUUGAGGCAGGAGAAUCGCUUGAACCCGGGAGGCAGAGGUUGUAGUGAGCCAAGAUCGUGCCACUGCACUCCAGCCUUGGUGACAGAGCAAGACUCUGUCUCAAAAAACAAACAAACACAC